rnacentral:rRNA from 1 species
UGGGGAAUAUUGGGCAAUGGGGGGAACCCUGACCCAGCAACGCCGCGUGGAGGAAGAAGGUUUUCGGAUCGUAAACUCCUGUCCUUGGAGACGAGUAGAAGACGGUAUCCAAGGAGGAAGCCCCGGCUAACUACGUGCCAGCAGCCGCGGUAAUACGUAGGGGGCAAGCGUUGUCCGGAAUAAUUGGGCGUAAAGGGCGCGUAGGCGGCUCGGUAAGUCUGGAGUGAAAGUCCUGCUUUUAAGGUGGGAAUUGCUUUGGAUACUGUCGGGCUUGAGUGCAGGAGAGGUUAGUGGAAUUCCCAGUGUAGCGGUGAAAUGCGUAGAGAUUGGGAGGAACACCAGUGGCGAAGGCGACUAACUGGACUGUAACUGACGCUGAGGCGCGAAAGUGUGGGGAGCAAACAGGAUUAGAUACCCUGGUAGUCCACACUGUAAACGAUGAAUGCUAGGUGUAGGGGGUAUCGACCCCUUCUGUGCCGCAGUCAACACAAUAAGCAUUCCGCCUGGGGAGUACGGCCGCAAGGUUGAAACUCAAAGGAAUUGACGGGGGCCCGCACAAGCAGCGGAGCAUGUGGUUUAAUUCGACGCAACGCGAAGAACCUUACCAAGUCUUGACAUCCUUCUGACCGGUACUUAACCGUACCUUCUCUUCGGAGCAGGAGUGACAGGUGGUGCAUGGUUGUCGUCAGCUCGUGUCGUGAGAUGUUGGGUUAAGUCCCGCAACGAGCGCAACCCUUAUCUUUAGUAGCCAGCAGGUAAAGCUGGGCACUCUGUGGAGACUGCCAGGGAUAACCUGGAGGAAGGUGGGGAUGACGUCAAAUCAUCAUGCCCCUUAUGAUCUGGGCUACACACGUGCUACAAUGGCGUAAACAAAGGGAGGCAAAGCCGCGAGGUGGAGCAAAUCCCAAAAAUAACGUCUCAGUUCGGACUGCAGUCUGCAACUCGACUGCACGAAGCUGGAAUCGCUAGUAAUCGCGAAUCAGAAUGUCGCGGUGAAUACGUUCCC